GCGGCUGUGGCGGAACUGGUAGACGCGCACGGUUCAGGUCCGUGUGGGCGAAAGCUCGUGAAGGUUCGACUCCUUUCAGCCGCA
rnacentral:tRNA from 1 species